rnacentral:rRNA from 1 species
GACGAACGCUGGCGGCGUGCUUAACACAUGCAAGUCGAACGGAAAGGCCCUGCUUUUGUGGGGUGCUCGAGUGGCGAACGGGUGAGUAACACGUGAGUAACCUGCCCUUGACUUUGGGAUAACUUCAGGAAACUGGGGCUAAUACCGGAUAGGAGCUCCUGCUGCAUGGUGGGGGUUGGAAAGGUUCGGCGGGUGGGGAUGGACUCGCGGCUUAUCAGCUUGUUGGUGGGGUAGUGGCUUACCAAGGCUUUGACGGGUAGCCGGCCUGAGAGGGUGACCGGCCACAUUGGGACUGAGAUACGGCCCAGACUCCUACGGGAGGCAGCAGUGGGGAAUAUUGCACAAUGGGAGGAAGCCUGAUGCAGCACCGCCGCGUGGGGGAUGACGGCCUUCGGGUUGUAAACCGCUUUCGCCUGUGACGAAGCGUGAGUGACGGUAAUGGGUAAAGAAGCACCGGCUAACUACGUG